CUCCCAAGAUAGACUUUCUCGAAGCUUCAUUUUUGAGAAUCGUUUAAACCCACCCUACUUUCUACUGUCGUUCUUUGCAUAUCAUAUUUUCUUGUCAUAUUUGCACAUUUCAAGCACUUCCCGAACAUUGUAACGUACUUAAGUCACACAAUAGACACAUGCACAUUCUCAGCUUAUCAUUGAAGUGGAGGUCUAGAUUGUGUCAUGCUUGCUUCGAAUUACUAUCAUUACCAGCCCGGUUCAGGAUGGAGAGAGGUAGAUGGAAAGAGGCACGUUGGUAAUCCUGAUAUCCCAACGACAACGUAAUCAGUUCACGCUGAAUGAAGUCGAAGAGAGUUGGGAUUCGCAUGCCAGCCAAGUGGAAUAGCAUCGAGACAUCGCGUCUGCGGUCUGCAUGCUAGAUAUUUACAACCUUUCUUCAAAAGAGAACAUGUAAAAUUUGAGCUAUACACUAGCUGUUAUCCACAAAGGACCGCCUUAUUGUUCUUCUCUCGUUUUCACUAUAUAUUUAUAUAUUUAAAGUCUUUAUGUUCAUUGACUCUGUAAGACUGACUCGGCUCUAAGUGUUGUUCGUUGACUGUGUCUGUGUAUUCACAGAAUGAUGUUCGUAAUUUACCAAACGUCUUCCAAUUAAAUACCUGCAAAAUGAA